UACGUAGGGUGCGAGCGUUAAUCGGAAUUACUGGGCGUAAAGCGUGCGCAGGCGGUGAUGUAAGACCGAUGUGAAAUCCCCGGGCUUAACCUGGGAACUGCAUUGGUGACUGCAUCGCUCGAGUAUGGCAGAGGGGGGUAGAAUUCCACGUGUAGCAGUGAAAUGCGUAGAUAUCAUUUGGAACGCCAAUGGUGAAAACAGGUAGCUGGGAGUGUGCUGACGCUGAGACACGAAAGCCAGGGGAGCAAACGGG
rnacentral:rRNA from 1 species